GGGCUAGUCAAGGCUCCUAAUCCACUCAAAGGGCAGGUGCAGAGCCAGGAACAAUCAGCAAUUAAUUACCAAGAGAUAAACGUGCAGAAGGAGAAAAUGACCGUCACUCACCUUCAUCAAGAAGAGGCCAUUGUGCUGGGUAGGAUCAGCAUCCAACCACUUGACGGGAAAGACUGUGAAGAGGUGAACCCCAUGAAAGGGUCAUUCGGUAAGGGCCGCGACCCACAGAUUGAGAACCACUGCUUCAUGCUCAAAACAUCACAGAGAAGGACCUCAGAGAGGAUUGCCUGCCUAUGUGGGUUGUACCUCUCAACGUUUGCCAGCUUAUGAGUGAAAACUGAGAAUCCAGAAGAUAGUUACUUCUUACAAUAAUGCAUGCGGGUUUAUUUAGAAAAAUACAGUUUAUGAAACAAAAAAAUGGUACGUAUGGUACUAUUUUACAUUUAUGCCAUUUUUUUCUGUCUAGCUUAAUAAACGACAGAUGGGGUCGCCUGUUUCGCCUGUUUGCUUCUGCAUUUGCUCUGUUGUGACAGUGACUGAGUUUUCCCAAAGCACUUGGCUUUAUGCCCAUAAGGGGAGGACAAGAGAAGACAAAGCCAAUACAUCUCAUUGCGAAACAGUUUUGACUUUGCACACCCCUGACCCUUUUGAUAUAAAUGGCAUCCAGGGAUAAGAAAUAAGAUUCUUAUUUCUGGAUAAGAAUUGAAAUGCUGCUUUAUGUAGGAAAGGGAUGCCUUUAGUGGGGACCAAGGGCUAGAAGCCAGGAUGUCCUCAAGUUUACCACCAUGAGAGGUGUAGUCUACACAGCCAGUGGUGCUGGACAGCAGGGUGUCCACUGGUGUGACCCAAGAGUGUGUGGACAGCAGGGUGUCCACUGGAGUGACCCAGGAGUGUGUGAGGACAAUCUCUGAGUCUUGAACAGCAGCUGGCAGAGUAUGUCUGGAGGCUGAAUCCUUUGGGAUAGGUUUUGUUUGUUUGAUUUAGCUAACUUGCUGUGUUAGUUUUCGUUUGGUUGUGUGUGUGUGCAUAUGUGUUCUUUGUUUUUUGUCAUUGUGGCCAAAUACCUGGGUAAAAAGGAGGAAAUAUUUCUUUGGUUCACAGUUUCAGAGGGUUCACCUUGUGCUCCUUGGCUUUGUUGAGUCUAACUUGUUG
rnacentral:lncRNA from 1 species